rnacentral:rRNA from 1 species
CGGCAACAGCUCAAAUUUGAAAUCUGGCCUUUGGCCCGAGUUGUAAUUUGUAGAGGAUGCUUUUGGUGCGGUGCCUUCCGAGUUCCCUGGAACGGGACGCCUUAGAGGGUGAGAAUCCCGUCUUGGACCGGCGUAGGGCCCGUGUAAAACUCCUUCGAC